UCUCAACGGUAGGUGGCUGAGUGGAUUGAACUUCAAUUUAUUUAUUUUUACAUUGUGAGUGUGUUCGUGUCUGUUAGUGAGUAUUAGUGUGUCUGUUAGUUUGUGAUCUGUUAGUGAGUGUGUGUGUCUGUGAGUUUUAGUGUGUCUGUUAGUGAGUGUUAGUGUGUGUCUGUUAGUGAGUAUGUGUGCAUUAGUGUGUGCCUGUUAGUGUGUGAUCUGUUAGUGAGUAUUAGUGUGUCUGUUAGUGUGUAAGCUGUUAGUGAGUGUUGGUGUGUGUCUGUUAGUGAGAGUGUGUGUGUGUG